GGGGAGGUCACUCUGAGAUUCGUUUCAUUUCAUUUCCGGGUGUUUUUGUACAGAAGAUGUGACACCCUACAUCACCAUGUUUACCUGGAAGGUGGCUGUAGUGUCCCUGUGUGGAGUAGGUUUUCUGAAGGAGUUACACUUCCUGGGAAUGUUCAGAGACGCGUAUCUGACUUCAGCUACACACAAUCUUACCCAGGACCAGUUGGAGUUUGAGGCCUACCCUGUCUAUGCCUACUCCUACCUCUGUGU